CCUACGGGUGGCUGCAGUGGGGAAUAUUGGACAAUGGGCGCAAGCCUGAUCCAGCAACGCCGCGUGGAGGACGAAGGCCUUCGGGUCGUAAACUCCUGUCAGACGGGACGAAGGUGUGAGGGUAAAUAAUCCUUACGCUUGACGGUACCGUCAGAGGAAGCCCCGGCUAACUCCGUGCCAGCAGCCGCGGUAAUACGGAGGGGGCGAGCGUUAUUCGGAAUUAUUGGGCGUAAAGGGCGCGUAGGCGGCUUGGCAAGUCAAAGGUGAAAUCCCUC
rnacentral:rRNA from 1 species